GUAGAGGAGAUGGCGCAAGGGACACAAACGAAGACUUGGGGGUUCCUGGGACCUUCAGACAUAUGUCCUCUUCUCCCCCCUCCCAG
rnacentral:pre_miRNA from 9 species